rnacentral:rRNA from 1 species
UACGGGGGGGGCAAGCGUUGUUCGGAAUUACUGGGCGUAAAGGGCUUGUAGGUGGCCAACUAAGUCCGACGUGAAAUCCCUAGGCUUAACCUAGGAACUGCGUCGGAUACUGGAUGGCUUGAAUCCGGGAGAGGGAUGCGGAAUUCCAGGUGUAGCGGUGAAAUGCGUAGAUAUCUGGAGGAACACCGGUGGCGAAGGCGGCAUCCUGGACCGACACUGACACUGAGGAGCGAAAGCCAGGGGAGCAAACGGG